rnacentral:rRNA from 1 species
UACGUAGGGAGCGAGCGUUGUCCGGAAUUACUGGGUGUAAAGGGAGUGUAGGCGGGACUGCAAGUCAGGUGUGAAAUGUAGGGGCUCAACCCCUGAGCUGCAUUUGAAACUGUGGUUCUUGAGUGAAGUAGAGGUAAGCGGAAUCCCUAGUGCAGCGGUGAAAUGCGUAGAUAUUAGGAGGAACAUCAGUGGCGAAGGCGGCUUACUGGGCUUUAACUGACGCUGAGGCUCGAAAGCGUGGGGAGCAAAC